GACGAACGCUGGCGGCGUGCCUAAUACAUGCAAGUAGGACGCACAGUUUAUACCGUAGCUUGCUACACCAUAGACUGUGAGUUGCGAACGGGUGAGUAACGCGUAGGUAACCUGCCUAUUAGAGGGGGAUAACUAUUGGAAACGAUAGCUAAUACCGCAUAACAGUAUGUAACACAUGUUAGAUGCUUGAAAGAUGCAAUUGCAUCGCUAGUAGAUGGACCUGCGUUGUAUUAGCUAGUAGGUAGGGUAAUGGCCUACCUAGGCGACGAUACAUAGCCGACCUGAGAGGGUGAUCGGCCACACUGGGACUGAGACACGGCCCAGACUCCUACGGGAGGCAGCAGUAGGGAAUCUUCGGCAAUGGGGGGAACCCUGACCGAGCAACGCCGCGUGAGUGAAGAAGGUUUCGGAUCGUAAAGCUCUGUUGUUAAGGAAGAACGAGUGUGAGAAUGGAAAGUUCAUACUGUGACGGACUAACCA
rnacentral:rRNA from 1 species